rnacentral:misc_RNA from 1 species
AGAACGCAGUGAAAUGCGAUAAGUAAUGUGAAUUGCAGAAUUCAGUGAAUCAUCGAAUCUUUGAACGCACCUUGCGCUCCUUGGUAUUCCUUGGAGCAUGCCUGUUUGAGUAUCAUGAAAUCUUCAAAGUAAAUCUUUUGUUAACUCAAUUGGUUUCUACUUUGGUAUUGGAGGUCUUUGCAGCUUCACACCUGCUCCUCUUUGUUCAUUAGCUGGAUCUCAGUGUUAUGCUUGGUUCCACUCGGCGUGAUAAGUUAUCUAUCGCUGAGGACACUGUAAAAGGUGGCCAAGGUAAAUGCAGAUGAACCACUUCUAAUAGUCCAUUGACUUGGACAAUACUUUUAUGAUCUGAUCUCAAAUCAGGUAGGACUACCCGCUGAACUUAAGC